GAUGAACGCUGGCGGCGUGCCUAAUACAUGCAAGUCGAGCGAACAGACGAGGCGCUCGCUUCUCUGACGUUAGCGGCGGACGGGUGAGUAACACGUGGAUAACCUACCUAUAAGACUGGGAUAACUUCGGGAAACCGGAGCUCAUACCGGAUAAUAUAUUGAACCGCAUGGUUCAAUAGUGAAAGACGGUUUUGCUGUCACUUAUAGAUGGAUCCGCGUCGCAUUAGCUAGUUGGUAAGGUAACGGCUUACCAAGGCAACGAUGCGUAGCCGACCUGAGAGGGUGAUCAGCCACACUGGAACUGAGACACGGUCCAGACUCCUACGGGAGGCAGCAGUAGGGAAUAUUCCACAAUGGGCGAAAGCUUGACGGAGCAACGCCGCGUGAGUGAAGAAGGUCUUCGGAUCGUAAAACUCUGUUAUUAGGGAAGAACAAAUGUGUAAGUAACUAUGCACGUCUUGACGGUACCUAAACAGAAAGCCACGGCUAACUACGUG
rnacentral:rRNA from 1 species